AUGGCUGAAGUAGUCAAUACUCUCUCUGAUUACAUGAUGUACCUCCUCAUUGAACACCGUGAUAUUCUGCCCAUCAGAGCAGAUGCUCCAAACCUGUUUGAGGAAACCAGCACCACUUACCGUGGACGUCUAUUCAAACCGGUCAGAUACAGUGUGGGUUGGCAUCGGCUAUUUCUGCAUUAUUACAAUAAAGGGCCUUUGGAGAAGAUAACAAAACUAUAUCAGGAUCAGGAGACGACGCAGCUUGAUUUGGAAUCAAAGCAGGGCAAUGUUGUUCUGGAGAAAGCAGGCGUACUUGCUCAGAUAAUGCUCGACAUGGAGUUGGAGCUCACACAUAAGAUGGUAAUAAUUGGAAGCGUGUGGACGGAGAUGUUGUGCUACGCAGCAACCAAUGCAUCCGGGGGAUUCCACGCCAGGCAGCUGAGCAAUGGUGGCGAGUUUCUGACCCACAUCUUGGUUCUCAUUGAAUAUUCUUCUUCUCCUAAUAACAAGAAACCAAGGCCGCUCGAACCCAUGAUUGUAAAACCGUCCAAAGCAGGUGAUGAAACUGUUCAUGCUGGCCACGUCAAGAUGAAUGUGGACGAUGAUUGCAAAGAUGAGAUCACUGAAAUCCGCUGA
rnacentral:rRNA from 1 species